rnacentral:rRNA from 1 species
UACGUAGGCAGCAAGCGUUGUUCGGAUUUACUGGGCGUAAAGGGUGCGUAGGCGGCUCUAUAAGUAUGGUGUGAAACCUCCCGGCUUAACUGGGAGGGUGCGCUAUAGACUGUGGGGCUAGAGUGUGGGAGAGGAAAGUGGAAUUCUCGGUGUAGCAGUGAAAUGCGUAGAUAUCGAGAGGAACACCAGUGGCGAAGGCGAGUCCCUGGACAACACCUGACACUGAGGCACGAAAGCUAGGGGAGCAAACAGG